CCAGGUAGGUGUUGUUUGUUCCUGAAUAAAACAGCCUGUGGUUUUGGGCCUGGAGAAAAAUCGGGACAAAGCUGUUAAAGGUGGCCAUGGAAGCAGCAGUGAAAAAGUUACAAGUAAUGGUGCAGAAAGACAGUAACAUUCAGGGGAAAAUUACAAGGAACAGACUGGCAGAAAAUGGCAGAGGAAAUAUUUGCCCCUACUUUUAAAAGUAACUGGCUACACUGGGCAUUUCCAAUUUUAAGUGGAGCUGCACAAAGUGGCCUGUGCUUAGCCCAGAGUAAACUCUCCAGUGCUACAGUUCAACCAACCGCUAUUGAAAGAGUAAUACAGCCAUAUCCUAGGCCUGUGAGGGAAUCCGAUCUUCAUGGUUAAAGCCUGAAAAUGUGACAUUACUGCAUCAAAGUGCAAACCAAAAGAACUCAGAAUUCAUUACUUUGUUUUGCGUCUUUUGUUCCUUUUCCUUUAAAAAAUAGUCAUGAUUAUUAAAUAAAUCACAUGAUUUAUCUGACAUCACUUCUGAAAACUGGGGCAGACAAUACCAUUAAAUCAUGGGGGAAAGCUUGAUACUAGAAGGCAGUUUUUUAAAUCAUAUGCUGGAAUUAUGCCCCAACAA